AGUAUAUAUGCCAACAUAAGACAAACAUUUACAUUUUCAUUGAUGUAAUAGAAAAGACAAAAUUUACAACAUUUUGGCAUACUAUUCAAGCCAACAUAAACAACCCAAUACCACUAUCAUUUGUGACAUUAAUUUUCAAAUAGCCUACAAACAUGACUAACAGAAUAACUAUUACAAAUGCAUAAAACAGGAUCAUCUUUUGCUGGUUCAACACUUUCUUCACUUCAAGCAGCUCACUUUCAUACAUUUUUUUUUUACUUUGAUAACACUUCAACUUUAUUUUUCAAUUCAGUACUAAGUAAUUCCAAGUGUUUACACUUCUCUUUCAUCAGUGCCAAUCAUUCAGUCAUAGUGUUAUUUAGCUCCUCCAAUCCUUUAACUUUCUCCUUGAAUGUAUUUCUCUGUCUCAACAAAUAAGUAAGGAUUUUCUUCUCAUAGCCAUGAGACGGAGGAUCAUACCAUUGGAAGAAGUUGCAAUCAUUCCCCCUCCCAAUAUCCACAUCUGAAAAACCUUCUCCCUAGAUUAGCCAAUGUCCAUGAUGUAUAGAUUGAAGCUCUCAAUCCAUGUUUGCACAUCACGAUUGCAUCACUAGAAACAUCUUCACUUUGAGGAGGCAAAAUUUCACUUCCGAACAAUAUUGCAUUAACUAGAGAUCACACUUUCUCCAACUUUGAUGAGCAAAUUGAAGAAGCAUGUGUUCGGCUUAAAGGGAGGAGAACGGAAAGGAGAACAUAGUUACUUUUAGGGAUUCAUUUUAGAGGUAUUUUAAGGAUUUCUCAUUUGGCUUAGUAGAUGGGCUGACGUGGCAUAACAUGGCAGCCACGUGACAUUUUCGUUACUCCACUAAUGGGGUGCCUAACGGCAAGGCAUAGGUUUCAUAAUUCUCAAAGUACAGGAUUUUAUUGGUAAAUUUAGAAAGUAUAGGAUAUAAUUAAAAAAAUUCUGAAAGUACAAGAUUUUUUUAGCAAUUUCCCCUUCUUUUAACGAUAAAGAGCAAAUAUAUCAUUUUCAUUGCUUCACUAAAAAAAAAUAAUUAAAAAAAAUAACAUUAAUUACAUUUGUUUAAAAUACUUGCUCUUAAAAACAAAGAAAAAAAGCAGAAGAAAAGAGUUCAACUUAGCUUUAACUCCAUUUUCUGACGAUCCAACAAAAUCCUCAACUGUUUAAACAUGCCUAAUGGUUUUAUCCGUCUAGUUUGACCAUACCAGUGAUUUUCUUCAUCUCAUUGCCCUUCCAAGAGGAGUGUCAAAAUAAUAAAACAUAAAAAGAAAGCUUAUUAUUUAGUCCUUAAAUUUUAUUAUUAAUUAUUAUUUAGUUCUUAUAUUUUAAAAAUUAAAUGAUUUAAUCUUUAAUUUUUAUUUCUAUUAAAAUUGAAGGUCCUUCCAUCCAAUUAAAAGUAAUCUAUCGUUAGUUUGAAGUGAAAAGACUAAUUUACCCUUUAUUUAGUAAUAGAAUAAAUCUCUAAAAUUAAAAAGAACAAAAACGGGAAAAAUAACAUAAGAACCCACAAGGAUCCAGAAAACAGAGCUACUGUCCCUUUUCAUCCAAUAAUGCAAAAAUUAAAUGGGAGAAGAGAGAGAGGGACACUGGCCGUCUAUCACCACCACCUGUUCCUCCGAUAUCAGUGGCUGUCCACAAACAUUUCUCCCUAGCUGUCCAUGCAAUCGUUGUCCAUUAGACUAUGUAGCAAAAAAAUAAAAACAUAGAUACGGAGAACGUGAAAACAGACGCAAAGAAUUUAAAAAAUAUAUAUAAAAAAACAACGUUAAAAAAUGCAUAUAUAAAUUAACAUAAAAUAAUAGAUUGUUCUUGAAUCUAUUUCAAUAUAAAAUUAUUAAGACAAAUCUAAA
rnacentral:misc_RNA from 1 species